rnacentral:rRNA from 1 species
AUUGAACGCUGGCGGCAGGCUUAACACAUGCAAGUCGAGCGGGGUGAUGGUGCUUGCACUAUCACUUAGUGGCGGACGGGUGAGUAAUGCUUAGGAAUCUGCCUAUUAGUGGGGGACAACAUCUCGAAAGGGAUGCUAAUACCGCAUACGUCCUACGGGAGAAAGCAGGGGAUCCGUUGUUACCUUGUGCUAAUAGAUGAGCCUAAGUCGGAUUAGCUAGUUGGUGGGGUAAAGGCCUACCAAGGCGACGAUCUGUAGCGGGUCUGAGAGGAUGAUCCGCCACACUGGGACUGAGACACGGCCCAGACUCCUACGGGAGGCAGCAGUGGGGAAUAUUGGACAAUGGGGGGAACCCUGAUCCAGCCAUGCCGCGUGUGUGAAGAAGGCCUUAUGGUUGUAAAGCACUUUAAGCGAGGAGGAGGCUUACCUAGUUAAUACCUGGGAUAAGUGGACGUUACUCGCAGAAUAAGCACCGGCUAACUCUGUGCCAGCAGCCGCCGUAA